UCAUCUGGUCUUCAGUGACUCUGAUCCUUUUCACCAAAGUUUGGAUCUCUUGCUAUCUUCUUGACAUGACCCCACUGGACCUUGGGUUUUAUUUAGAUCUUCUGUUCUUUGGCCCAUUUUGGUUUCUCUCUCUCCUACUCUGACUCUGCUUCCGUUAUACCUAGAGAUUUUCUCCAUUUUCCCCCCUUUCUCAUACAUAGGAGAGCUGCUUCUUUCCACAGACAAGCAUAGAAACUUGGCAAACAGCGGGAAGCUCAGUCUGUGUUGCCAUGUCAACCGAAAGCAGAGCUGACUUUUCAGCAUCACACACUAAUCGUUCCGGUUUAUGGACUGGCAGGGCCCUAGAAGACCAUUUUCAUCCACUGGAAAGUCUCCCGUCAGUUAUGAACGGGCUCCAAGGCUAGCCCAUCCUGGCUGUGGCAAAAGAAAGGAGGAGAUUCAUUCAGAGUUCUAGAAGGACCUCUUGGUUUAGGUAUAUAUUUAUGAGCAGAAGAACAGAUUCAACAGGAGCCCGGGGAUUUACAGAGUUUCAGCAAACGGGACAGAGCAGAUCCGUGUUGGGUGCAUGCGGAGGGGAGCCUGCCAGUGACCCACUGAAACCAUCCGAGUUCUGGUGAUGGAACUGAUUCCAGCAUAGGUUCCAGACAGAAAUGCAGCUGCGUCUUUGCUUCGUUUGACUGAAGCAAAUGCAAUCAGUUUUCAUCUUCUCUGACAUUUAUUAUUUUGGGGAGGGGGUGUCAGGGGAAGGGACAUUAGCCACAAAUAUGACAAGGUUAAAGGACAAUGAGUCUGGUCUGAAGCAUUGCAUUCUAGACGGUUGACAUCCUAAGUUCAUCAAUCAAUAUUAUUGACUUGGCCGUGCUUCAAGAUGGAGUAAUUUCUAUAAUGCAAUUUAGCCUGUGCCACAAAAUGGUGUGUUGGGGAUAAAAUGUCUGAAGCCAGUCAGUCGUCUGUGAGAUACAUUUUGGGAAACAUUCUUAAUCUUAAAAAUAGAACUUGAAGUGUUUGCAGCCAGGAAGAUGCUUAAUUAGAUUCACAUAGGAGCCACCAGCUGUUCAUAAGACAAACAGAAAUGUCUGAAGUCUCUUCCGGUUCUCUGGAGACAGGCAGAAUGGCUCCCCUUUUCCGAGCCAAAUCUGAGAGACCCUUCAGUGAAAAGCUCUCCAGGCCUGAGUGGCCAAGCUCGGCACACAGAGCUCACGUUUUCCUCUUCCUCUGGCCUCUUGCUCUGCUCUCAAAACCUGAGGAGCUUCUAGUUAUCCUGGUAAAAUGUCCACAAAGUGACACUCCCAUGGAACGGGCC